rnacentral:rRNA from 1 species
UACGUAGGGUGCGAGCGUUGUCCGGAAUUAUUGGGCGUAAAGAGCUUGUAGGUGGUUUGUCGCGUCUGCUGUGAAAAUCCGGGGCUCAACCCCGGACUUGCAGUGGGUACGGGCAGACUAGAGUGUGGUAGGGGAGACUGGAAUUCCUGGUGUAGCGGUGGAAUGCGCAGAUAUCAGGAGGAACACCGAUGGCGAAGGCAGGUCUCUGGGCCAUUACUGACACUGAGAAGCGAAAGCAUGGGGAGCGAACAGGAUUAGAUACCCGUGUAGU